rnacentral:rRNA from 1 species
UACGGGGGGGGUAAGCGUUGUUCGGAAUUACUGGGCGUAAAGGGCUCGUAGGCGGCCAACUAAGUCGGACGUGAAAUCCCUCAGCUUAACUGGGGAACUGCGUCUGAUACUGGAUGGCUUGGAUUUGGGAGAGGGAUGCGGAAUUCCAGGUGUAGCGGUGAAAUGCGUAGAUAUCUGGAGGAACACCGGUGGCGAAGGCGGCAUCCUGGACCAACACUGACGCUGAGGCGCGAAAGCUAGGGGAGCAAACGGG